UACGUAGGGUGCAAGCGUUAUCCGGAAUUAUUGGGCGUAAAGAGCUCGUAGGCGGUUUGUCGCGUCGGGAGUGAAAACCUUGGGCUUAACUCAGGGCUUGCUUUCGAUACGGGCAGACUAGAGGUAUGCAGGGGAGAACGGAAUUCCUGGUGUAGCGGUGAAAUGCGCAGAUAUCAGGAGGAACACCGGUGGCGAAGGCGGUUCUCUGGGCAUGAUCUGACGCUGAGGAGCGAAAGUGUGGGGAGCGAACAGG
rnacentral:rRNA from 1 species